GACGAACGCUGGCGGCGUGCUUAACACAUGCAAGUCGAACGGAAAGGCCCUGCUUGCAGGGUGCUCGAGUGGCGAACGGGUGAGUAACACGUGGGUGAUCUGCCCCUUACUUUGGGAUAAGCCUGGGAAACUGGGUCUAAUACUGGAUAGGACCAUGCUGUAGGUGGUGUGGUGGAAAGAUUAGUUUCGGUAAGGGAUGAGCUCGCGGCCUAUCAGCUUUUUGGUGGGGUAAUGGCCUACCAAGGCGUCGACGGGUAGCCGGCCUGAGAGGGUGGACGGCCACAUUGGGACUGAGAUACGGCACAGACUCCUACGGGAGGCAGCAGUGGGGAAUAUUGCACAAUGGGCGCAAGCCUGAUGCAGCGACGCCGCGUGGGGGAUGACGGCCUUCGGGUUGUAAACUCCUUUCAGCCAUGACGAAGCCCUUGUGGUGACGGUAGUGGUAGAAGAAGCACCGGCUAACUACGUG
rnacentral:rRNA from 1 species